CGGAGGUAACAGAUUGCACAAACACAUUGAAACAUUUUCAGCUGUUCACUAACACUGUUACAUUUUCUGGAAUUUUCAAUUGAAUGGGAGAAUACGUAAGUAAGAUAGAGAAAAACUAUCGACAUUCUAAACAUAUUGUAAUAUUAACUUGCUAGAAUAGGAGAGACGAAUGCCCAAUUUUUCAAGAAGAAGAAAACGAAAAGCGCAGUUUAUUUUGGAUUUUAAAGAGAGAAACUAAAAGGCUUAACUAGGAGAAAAAGAAAACAUUUGGAGGAUUCAAGUAUAUUGGGUACAACAAACAAAUAAGAGAGUAAGUUUUAAAUUAGUAAAGCUAAAUAGCGCAUAUUUAUUUCAAAUAGUUGCUAUAGAUUAUGCAUUUUUGUGAAAUAUGUAAUUUGUACUUUAUAUCUACAUAUAUAUGUAUGUAUAUACAUACAUACAUGUGUAAAUGUAAAAAAUUUAAAAUCUAAAUUGAAACGAGUUGUGCGGUUACAAUUAUAAUUGUGCCGACUUUAGAAUACCGUCCCACGAUUUCGGGAAUAAAAUGGGUAUUGUCGGAUUGAGGAGGUUUUUCAGAAUUAGUGAAGUGCUAGUGAACAUAAA